rnacentral:sRNA from 1 species
UUUUAGCCCUGAUUGCAGUGAAAAUCCUUUUUAUUUUUUUUGAAAAAUAAAAAGAUUGCAACGUAAAGCAGGUUCCUGG